rnacentral:rRNA from 1 species
CUGGUUGAUCCUGCCAGUAGUCAUAUGCUUGUCUCAAAGACUAAGCCAUGCAUGUCUAAGUAUAAGUGUUAUACAGUGAAACUGCGAAUGGCUCAUUAAAACAGUUAUAGUUUAUUUGAUAAUCGAAUUUACAUGGAUAACCGUGGUAAUUCUAGAGCUAAUACAUGCUGGUUAGCCUGACUUUUAGGAAGGGCUGUAUUUAUUAGAUAACAAACCAAUAUUCCUUGUGUCUAUUGUGACGACUCAUAAUAACUGAUCGGAUCGCAUGGGCUUUGCCCGCGACAAAUCAUUCAAGUUUCUGCCCCAUCAGCUUUCGAUGGUAGUGUAUUGGACUACCAUGGCUUUAACGGGUAACGGAGGAUUAGGGUUCGAUUCCGGAGAGGGAGCCUGAGAAACGGCUACCACAUCUAAGGAAGGCAGCAGGCGCGUAAAUUACCCAAUCGCGACUCGCGGAGGUAGUGACAAGAAAUAACGGACCGAAGCCUAUGUUUCGGGAUUGCAAUGAGUAGAAUUUAAACCCCCUUACGAGGAUCAAUUGGAGGGCAAGUCUGGUAAUCUCU